AAAAAGCUUUUAUUUGCCACAUAUACGUUCCUUUACGCAGCAUAAAAUUUACACGGGCUGAGUAUGGCCUGUUAAUAUUUUGUUGUAGCCAUAAGCCCAACUCUCUUUCUUCACCCAAUGACCGUCGAUAUCGUUUUGCCUCUUCCACUUCUCCAUGGUGUUGCCGAUUGAUUUCUGCAACUCUCUGUUUCGUUGAAGUUAUAACUAUUAAGUAUUUACUCUCAAUCAUCCAAUCCUUUAUUUAUUCAUAUCUUAAUUUCAGCUUAACCCACCUUCUUCAUCCCUUAUUCAAGUUCGUACAGCCUCUAGAAUACCUCUUCAAAUUCCUAUUGCUAUCUUCGUCUUUAAAAAUUCGUGCAAAUACUAUUGGAUCGACUGUGAUAUCAAAAGUAAGCCAAAAGACAUGGCAAGUUGCAUACAGUCUCAAUCAAUCUGUGCUGAAACGCUCUGUGGAUGUCUUUUACAACAUGGUUUGCGUAACACUGAGAAUGUACUUGAUGUGUUCCAGCUUGCGCUGCUAUGUGGUUUCCCUCGGCUUAGCGUCAUAUCUCACCAUAUGAUCAUGAAACACUUCAAGCAACUUUGUGCUACAGAAGCAUGGAUAUUUAUGCAGAGCCGUCCCUUUCUCGAGAAAAAAAAAACUUAAAAGGCUCUGUCAUCAUCGAAGAAAGUGGUGCUCGCGGGGUUCUUCAAAAGUGGAACAAGAUUGAGGCAAGGCUAAAAGCCACAUCUCAUUUUUGAGAACGAAGUAUUAUAAUCCUGAUAAUGAGAAGGUGGAACCCACUGUUGCUACGAUUCUCAAAGGAAGUGAUAAUUUUUUUUGUUUAUGUUCAUUAGUAAGUAUCUGAUAGUAUAUAUUAUAUCCAUAAGAUGUAAAAUGAUUAGCCCACUGAUCGACCUAGACUGUUUUGUUUCUUAUAUUCUUAAGGGUCUUCCAUUUGAGCUAUAAUAACAUGCUUCUACAUCAGUUGUGGAGUGAAAAUGGUAAUAUUAAGAAUAUUCUCAGCAAUUCUUUCUUUCAGCUUCAAGCUAAUCAUGCUAUUACUGAUAUACAGAAUCAAGUAAAACCCUUGAAAGAAGUGAGAGAAGUUAUGGUCAAAGCUUACCAGAAGGUUAGCUCCUGAGAGUUUCUAAAAUAUAUUGUCAGAAAUCUACUCUAAACAGCCUUUCUUCCAUCAUAUACGUGAACAAUUCUUCCUGAUAGUAGAAGACAAGAGGAUGCAAACUUCAACGUAGAUUUACCGACUGAUGUUAAUGGUGCUGAUAAAAAAAAUUAAGGCAUGUGCCACUUAAGGAACUUGGUGAGCCCGUUGUCGUCUAUGUUACUUUAUCUCAGGUCACAUGGGUGCUGUGUUUAUAAGGUCUACACAAUCUUAUGCUGCUUAUACUCCUUCGAUUCUACUCUUGAUGAUCUUAUUCUUAUAUAUACUAUCAUGUGCAAAUUAAGAGUUUAAGUACAAUUGGAAGCUCGAGAGUUUAAUGUUA